UAGCCACCACCAACCACUCUCGCUUUCGAGAGCUCGAGACUAGCCUGCCUGCCUGCCCGAACUCGGUAACCAGGCAUCGGCGAGGGCGAGAGGAGGGGAGGAGAGAAACAGUAGCCGUAUUUAGAGUUUGAUCUCCAGGAAAGCGUCCAAAAUUUGGAGAGAAAGAAAAGGGGAGCCCGGGACAUUGGUAGGCAGGGAGAACCCCCUGACAACAAACCCGGGCCUGACAAAGUUGUCUCUUUGGCAGUCGCGCCUCCUAUUGAACCAGUAAUUUAUUCAAAGGAGAUUUUUAUCCCCGCGAUCUAAUUAUUAUGAUAAUCAAGUGACCCAGACCCCCUUUCUUGGCUCUUGUCUGCGGGCUCUGGGCUCGGCGGUGACAGUAAAAGCUGAUUUGCACGGUCUUCACCCCCUGGUCACAUUCCUGGACUCCUCUGUAUCAAAGACGUAGACAAUGAGAAUAGUGGAUGUGCGCACUUGAUCCAGGCAUGAGCGGAGGCCGCAGUCUCCGCCGGGGGCUUUGUGUCAAAUGAAUACUAGUAGCCAGACAAGAUUACACGAAACUUUUUAUAAUCCCCACAUGGUCCAAAACGACGCUCACAACGACACCCUUGAUAUGUGAAACUCCCAAAUAGACCUGAAAUAGAGACAGCAGAGACGAUGCUGAAUAUUUGAUUGAGCUGAUGAUACCAGUUUAUAAUCAAUUAGAGAACUGAUUAUUAAUAUGAUGACCAAAUGUCAUGCAAUAUAAGGAGUGUUGCCAAGAUUUUGGUAUCUGUAGUCUCAAAUAUGACGUCGAAUAAAGCCAUUCUACACUAACUCAGAUUAUUAGUUUCGAGGAUUCUUUUUUAUCAUUGAGGACAGAACUUGAGCUUGAAUCCUUAUUCAAGACCACUUAUGCUUUCAUUUUUUUAGAGGGUGGAGACAAAAAAGCAGACCUGCAUCGUGUCAUAAAGGGGAGGGCCUUGGUGGUGGUAGCCUAUAUGUUUUUAGAGCAGGCAUGUUUUGAGUUCAUAUUGCAUCUGACGAAAGGAAUGGCGAGUACCGGGGACAGCGCGGGGAGGAAGGGGGGAGGCGAGAUCCACCUCCGAGAGAAAUAAUGGGGAUGAUAAUAAAACAGGGGGAAAACCCGUCCGAGAGAAGCUGAAUGGAUGGAGCAAGGCAGACGUCACGGCCAGCCGCAGCCAUGAAGACCGUGCGGUCCAGCCUCCGGCAACUCAGUUGGUCUCCAUCUCCCGAGCCGCACGCUUCUCGAUUUUGGAGAGCGGAAGCCGCAGAGACUCCCAGGCGACGGCGUGAGUAUCAAUAUAAUCUGUGUUUUCUCCAAAGGGGGGAAGGCGAAAGCGGUUGGGGAUUAGCGGCGAAAAUCACGGAGGAAAGACCGUUCGCAUCCGCGCCGUGCACGCCGCCGAUCUGCACGCAUAACGGAGCAGGAUGCACACAGGCUGGAUGUGUCAGCAGCAGGCGAAUAUGGGCGCUGUGUGUUUGAGCAGCAGGUCCUGGGCUCUGAAUUUACCGUUAUUUUUGUUUCUGUUUUGAUGCUCUGAUGAGGGUAAAGUAGGAGGUGAUGUUUCACUCACAAUGGCAGCUGUUGAGAGGAAAACCAAGUGGCAACUCAGUGUUCAUGACAUUUUGUCUCUUAAUUCAGUGUGCUUAAAAAAAUACAAAUCGAUAUUGAAAGCUUCAGAAAGAAAAAUUAUGGGUUGAUUCACUUAGUAGAAUAUGGAGUAGUGCACAGGUGGAAAGUAACAGCUAAAACAUGUGGAAACAAACCUGCACUGUGGAAUACGUGUGUGAAAGAGCAACUUCUAAUUUGAAGUGGUUUGUCUCUGUUUUAAAGAAAAAGUACUCUUUUUUCAGACCCAGCCUUUAUGACGCAUUGUGUGCAUGCUUCAUACAAAGCGAUUCACAGAGAGCCACACAGGCCAAAAGGCGCUUCCAGCCUUGAUUUCAUUUCUCAUACACACCUCCAGGCACUUAGCAGGGUCACUUCUCAAGCUCUGUUUGCUGCAGAAGCGGGAGCUGCAGAGACAGGCAACAUAUGGCACGAAAACCCAACAAAAUUUGACACGAUCAGGAUGUGGGGAAAAAAUUAAAUCCUUUUGUGUCUUUUCCCCCCAAAUUAAGCCCUUGCAGGACUCUUUGCUACCAUGUGGCUCAGAUAUGAGGAUUACUAGCACACAGACCUGCAAUGCAUGCGUAAUAAGACAAAGUGAUCGUGUUCACACCCAUGGUUGGCGGAUAAAGGGAUCACAAGGCCAAAUAUCCAGUCCACACGUGUGCGCCGAGAGGCCUGUACAGAGAACACGUGUGCGCCCCCGGAUACAUUAGGGGAGAAAAACUGAGGCCGUUGAGCUUUCAGGGGGUUUGAAGCAAAAAGAAAAAAAGGGGAGAUUAUGAAAUAUUUCACAUGAUGAACAUGAGGGUAUUAAUUUGUAUGCAGGCUUAGGGAGGAGGGGAGAAUUUAGAAAACAACGAUUUUGUGCAACCUUUGCACAAAAUUCAGAUUCAUUUUCCAGUUUAAGCCAAAAUAUAUCGGCCACGCAACUUUAGAGUAUUUAUCUAGCAACACACACACACACACACACACACACACACACACACACACACACACACACACACACACACACAAUGGGCAACUGUGGGGUGGAACAAAUAAAGAGAGGAUUUCUGUGCAGGGCUUUAAAUGAAGUUCAUAUGCACCGUGUAUUUUAGAGAUAUUUGCGACACCACUGUAAAAAUGGCAGGUUGUACAUUAUUGUAAAAAUACAGAUAACAAAGUAUUAAAAGUACUACUGCUGAAGUAUCACUCAGUGCACCUUACUUCACCUACUAUCGGAGUUUUUGUUUUAAAAAAAUAUUUUGUCCUUGUCGUGACAAAAUAGAAUUUUCUGACGAUCUUUGCUGGUUAAACGAAGUCUACAAUAACCAAAAUUGGGCAGUUAGGCUUUGUAGUCAUUUUGAAGAGUAAAAUCAUCGUCUCUUUUUUCCAGGAACCGCUGGAGAGACAUUCAGCGGCCUCACAACACGUGAUUUACUGUAGGUCAGAACUUGGCCCAUGUUACUUCGCCUGCAGAUUGAGAGGAUGGGUAGCCUUAGGGGUUGGUUGUUAUCUUUGGUUAUCUAGCUGUAUGAGUGAUGUACAUUCUUCAUAAAGCUAGAUAACCGAAAGUAACAAGAAUCCCAUUACACUCCUGAAAAGGCAUCAAGACCCCAAAUGCGCCUCCCUACAAGAAAAUGCAAACUUUGCCAGAAGAAUUGUAACAUGAGAGAAGAAAAUGGACUACAUUUUAAAGAAGACGGGAAUGCGAUGCAACAAAAGGCUACCACAUUACUGAAGGAAAGCUGGCAAAAGAAGACUGAAAAACAGAGAAGGAGGAGGGGUUGUUGUUGAUUCUGCCCUCCCUCUCUCCUCGCCCUCCACUGCAUUGCCUCUUCCCUCCUCCUCUUCCCUUCCUCAUCCACUCCAUCCUCAGCAGACUGCCCCUUUUUCCUGUACAGCGAAACGCAGCCCGCGCCACCAUCUUAGAGCAACGCUGGCAUGAAAUGGAAGUGGGAAGACCAGUCAGUGCAGAUAAAUGUGAUUGGUGCAGGGGGAUCCAGAAUGGACAGAGCACACAAAAGGAGGACGGUGGGACUCCUCCUUCAUUCGCUGCCUUUUAGCUGGAGUAAACACGGAGGACGGCGAUGCUGUCUGCAUGCAAGCCGGCAGUGAUUCCUGCCAUAACUGUGGAACGCUGUGUAUGUCUCCUUGAUGCAUCGCUCGAACCAACACUCAGCCUGGACUGCUUGUGAAUGACUUUUGGUGUUUUAACUGAGCAAACAUCAUCGUGGACUCCAAUCAUGGAAACCUGUGGGACUCGUUGGAAAAUAAGCAGCCCGAAGGCUGGAGGAACUGCUUGAUAAUUGUGACUCUUAAUUCUUUUAUUAGAUGUGGCACUGAAUUUUGUAAUUAUUAUCCUAUAUUUGAUUGUAAAAAAAUAUUGUUUAGACAUGAAGGAAUAUAAUCUGUCCUCAGCUGUCAUAGGCUCCACUUAAUGUAGGUUGUAUUUGAUGAUUUGUAGCCCAUAUUUUGCUCAUUUUCUCUUUUGUUAUAGUUGCUAGGACUCAAAAGACAUGUGAAUGUGAGACCCACGGCAGCAGUGAAUAAUACUGCACUGCGAUUGGACAGCUCCGUGUGUCAGCUGACACAAUGGCGAAGGAGUGAGCUGUCGUCUUUAUACUCUAUGCAACUGUUCUCUUUUUUUCCUUUCUUUAUUGUUUAGGGGAAAAAAACCUUUUCAUAUUUAUUUUGGAUUAUUUUUUGAGCCAUCAGUUUACAGAAAUUCCUUCAGACAUCAUCAAGAGAAAUGGUUUAUGAGGUGCUGACGUUCCAGUUAUUAAUAUAGUGAAACAGAAAUUACAGUCAGGAUGUGUGUGUGAGUGUGUGACAGAUGACAGGAUACAGCAGUUUCAUCAGUGGAUGGAUUGAAUCUCAUAUUUGCAGCUUUCGACUGUGCAGCCAUGAGCCAGAGUCUGAGUAAAUGUGGACUCAAGCAUUUAAUAUUCCUGAUGGUUGGAGUGUGUUUGAUCAGCAGGAAGUAGCUCUGCGUGUAUACAGAACAUGCCACACUAUUAAAAGCUGCUCCCUAUAGCAGUCGUUGAGGCACAGCAGUUUGGCACAUAAUAGUUACCUGCUUUAGUGUAAUGAUACAUCUUUGGGUGAGACAUGACAAAUACAUUGGCUUCAAACACUGCCUUAAUUUCCUGUUCUUGACAUUAACACACAGCGACACACACGCCCGCACACACACAUGCACCCAAAUGCAAUAAGGCAAGUACUAUCAGGGCCUAAUUCAUUCUAUAUUAAUUUUCGGGAAGUGGCAAAUUUUUUAUUACGAUUGAUAAUCUAUGCAAAUCUUUUAAAUAUUACUUUAGACAAUCUAUGUCUAUGCAGCGCUUUUGCAAUUGAUUCAAGGGAGACUAUCUUGGCCUAAUUUAGAAAAUGUAUUCUUUUGAUAAUCAUGCACAUCCCAGUGCUCAAGACAAUUACUUAUCUGCCUGGAUAAGCUUGAAAUUAUGUUUUUAAUCUCUAGCAAAAAAAAGUCACUCUUCUGAAAUCAGUCCAGAGGCUUGAAAACCAUGAAUUGUGGUCUAAAAUAAUUAAAUCAGUUGCACUAAAUCUCCCUUUUCCUUAAAUGUAGAUCAAAUAUAUCUAUUUAGCUUUGAAUAGCAUACUGUUUAUAUAAGCAACAAUGUUUGUAUUAUGCAAUCUCAUCUUUGUGAAUGAGUGUUCACCACACGUGCCUUUGUAUGGAAAGCUGUUGAAAUAGUAAUAAAGGUUUACAAUGAAAACAAUGAAA